rnacentral:tRNA from 1 species
GGGGAAUUAGCUCAAAUGGUAGAGCGCUUGCUUAGCAUGUGAGGAGUAGUGGGACCGAUACCCGCAUUCUUCA